UCCUUGGUGGUCUAGUGGCCAAGACUCCAUGCUCUCAAUACAGGGGACCCAGGUUUGAUCCCUGGUCAAGGAA
rnacentral:tRNA from 1 species